rnacentral:rRNA from 1 species
CCUACGGGCGGCUGCAGUGAGGAAUAUUGGUCAAUGGGCGCGAGCCUGAACCAGCCAAGUCGCGUGAGGGAAGACGGUCCUAUGGAUUGUAAACUUCUUUUGUCAGGGAAUAAAACGCGCCACGCGUGGCGUUCCGAGAGUACCCGAAGAAAAAGCAUCGGCUAACUCCGUGCCAGCAGCCGCGGUAAUACGGAGGAUGCGAGCGUUAUCCGGAUUUAUUGGGUUUAAAGGGAGCGUAGGCGGAAGAUCAAGUCAGCGGUAAAAUUGGGAGGCUCAACCUCAUCGAGCCGUUGAAACUGGUUGUCUUGAGUACACUAGAGGUAUGCGGAAUGCGUGGUGUAGCAGUGAAAUGCAUAGAUAUCACGCAGAACUCCGAUUGCGAAGGCAGCAUACCGACACUCGACUGACACUGAUGCACGAAAGUGUGGGUAUCAAACAGGAUUAGAUACCCUAGUAGUC